GCUUAAUACAUACAAGUCAACUUGACUUUAGAUAGCAAUAUCGAAAAGUAGGGUGGCGCACGGGUGCGUAACGCGUAGGUAAUCUGCCCUGAGGUCUGACAUAACCCGUCGAAAGGCGGGCUAACAUCAGAUGAUAUAUAAUCACGACAUCGUGGAAAUAUCAAAUCUUCGGAGCCUUGGGAUGAGCCUGCGUCUGAUUAGGUAGUUGGCGGAGUAAUAGCCCACCAAGCCUACGAUCAGUAGCUGGUCUGAGAGGAUGAUCAGCCACACUGGAACUGAGACACGGUCCAGACUCCUACGGGAGGCAGCAGUAAGGAAUAUUGCUCAAUGGGGGAAACCCUGAAGCAGCAACGCCGCGUGAAGGAUGAAAUACUUUGUAUGUAAACUUCUGUAAGAUGGGAAAAAUAUUCUCCUCGGGAGAAUUGAUUGUACCAUCAGAGUAAGCCCCGGCUAACUACGUG
rnacentral:rRNA from 1 species